CAACGUAAAGAACCUACCUUAUAGACAGGGACAACUAUUGGAAACGAUAGCUAAUACCUGAUAAGAAAGAAACUCGCAUGAGAGAAGUUCGAAAGUCGGAGCAAUCUGACACUAUAAGAUGGCUUUGCGGUGCAUUAGCUAGUUGGUAGGGUAAAAGCCUACCAAGGCGACGAUGCAUAGCCGACCUGAGAGGGUGAUCGGCCACAUUGGGACUGAGACACGGCCCAGACUCCUACGGGAGGCAGCAGCA
rnacentral:rRNA from 1 species